AGAGCGGCGGGCGGGCGGGCGGGGGAGGCCCCGCGUCAGCACCGCCAGGGCCCGCGCCCGCCAGCGGGGGCUGCCCCGGGGAGGGGGGAGGCGGGGGAGAGGACAACAAGCGGAACAACUUCUGCAAAUUGAAAAAACGAAAAGAGAGAGAGAAAAAAGUAAAAAUAGGGUCGUUCGUGGGACAUCUUCGAAGCUCAGCACCACGCGUGGCGUCCAAGCCGCAGUGAAACCCCCCACGCCAGUGAAUCCCACCACAGUGACAAGAGGAAAACUGUCUGUGGCCACUGCACCAAAGUCUCGCAGGCGUUAGAGUCGCCUUGGCUUUCUGGCUGGAAGAUGAUUCCUGCAACAGAAUCAUAUUGCUGAUGAUGAACCGCAGGGUCGUUGGAAGAUGCCUUCCUUGAGGAUUACACCUGGAGAAAGGCCAUCAGUCAAGGAGAGAGCUGGCUGGUGAAACUGUCUGACUUCCCCCACCUCUCCACCCCCCCUCAACGGGGAAGUGGUUUCAAUGGCUCCAUCUCCCAGGAGAAGCAGUAGGAAAGAUGCCAACACCUUGCCAAGCAUGUCCUCAACUUUCUGGGCUAUCAUGAUCCUGGCCAGUCUCCUAAUCGCUUACUGCAAUUUUAACAGCUAUUUUGGAGCGGAUAACCCUCAAUGGCUGUAUAUGAGACAUUGCCCGGGGUGCUUCCAAGAUGCUUUUGAGCUGGGUCAACUGGCUGCAGGUACAUGUGAGAUUGUUACUUUGGACAGAGAUAGCAGUCAGCCCCGAAGGACUAUAGCCCGACAAACAGCUCGCUGUGCAUGUAAAAAAGGACAGAUUGCCGGUACAACAAGAGCAAGGCCAGCGUGUGUUGAUGCACGAAUUAUCAAAACAAAACAGUGGUGUGAAAUGCUUCCAUGUUUAGAAGGAGAAGGCUGUGAUUUGCUAAUCAAUAAAUCAGGCUGGACCUGUACACAACCAGGAGGACGGAUAAAGACAACCACGACUGAAGACCAGCUGGAAAUGUCCUGAGGCCAUGGUCUACUGGUCUGAGCUUGGGACUGGGAGCCAGAAACUCCUGAGCUCUAAUCCCGGCUCUGACAGUGACUCCCUCUGUGGCCUUGGGAGUCCUUCUUUUCUCUUAUUUGAUCUGUCUCUUUUUCUGGGGAGUGAUUAAUUUACCUGUAUUGAGGAGUGAAAGGGAAAAAAACAGGAGGUGGGAGGGUCUCCUGACAAAUGCAGCAACACAGAAUCCUCGUAGGAGUGGUUUAGGCUCUCUGUGAGCUACUUAACUUAGUCAAGUUUCACUGCUGUUGAUCAUCAUCCGUUAUAUGUCAUCAACUCAACUGUCUGUUUCUCUGUAUCUCAUGAGUGACAGCAUAAUUCCUCUACAUUAUGAGCUAAAGUUUGUUCUACCAUUCUAAGGAUCACUGGACUAAGGAAUAUAGAGAAAGAGAUAUGCUUGGGCAUUAGCAAUACAAACAAGUUCAUGGUUAACGUUUCAUCUGCGUUAUACACCACUGCUGGACUUGCUGUUACCUACAUGUUUCAAUCUGAAGAGUCUGCUACAAUGAAGAGUAUCAUCCCAAUCAGCCUUAGAGAAGACUGUUUUGCCUAUGGGAGGACACUGAGGUGCAAAAGAGAAACUCUUCUUGUGCCCUAAACUGUCUGAAUUGCUUUUAUUUUCUUAUACUUUCAGUAUAUACAAUAGACCAAAGAGCAAAAUCUAUUUUAAAGUGGACACAAUCUUACUCUUAACAGAAUUCUGUCAUUAAAUUGAAGGAGGUCUCCACAAACACGUGAUUCCAGCUUUCACAAAGAUGAAAUGUUGUUGUCCAGCAGAAGUCUUUAUGGAAAGCUGCAGUAAAAACUAACUCAGAGACCUGCUCUUGAAAUGCCACGUUCGAGAGAACAUAAUGGAGCACUGAGAGAAAAUGACCUAAGUUUGAAAAACUUGGACAAAAAGAACACAAACUGUCUACACAGCACCUUUAUUCCUCUGUACUUAGAUUGACUUUCUCGUACUAAAAUCAUUUUCAGUUUUAACCAGUUAAACAUGCCUCUUCUACAGUUCCAUUUUUGAUAGUUAAAGUUGGAUAAUACAGUAUUUGCAAAGAGCAUGUUUGGUCAUCUGUGGCCUAUGUCUCAUCUGAUACACCAUUUAGCACCAGAAAGCAAAUUAAAGAGAAAACAAAAGUAACAUUUGUUUGAAAGAGAUCAUUAAAUGUAUUUUGAAAAGCCUAAAGUUAUAUAUUUAACAGUUUUUAUAUGUUGUAUAUUUGUAGAAAAUCCUAUUUAACAAUUAACGUGAUAACUCUGACAGUCAUGACAAGUGGUUCAGAGUUAAGUUGUGUUUUAUUACUUCAGUUGUCUCUGAAGUGACUGGUGUCGUUUGCUUUCUUCCAUGGGGACAUUCUGGAUGUAAAGCAUGACCAGAGAGGACUGUGUAGAAAAAGCAAAGAAUAAUGUUGUUUAUAUUACAUAAAUGCAUUCAACCAUUGCACUGUUGGAAGGCAUUUUUUAUUUUUAUUUUAUUUUUAUUUCUUGUCUUUAUGUACUGAUAAAAAUAGAGUGUAAAAUAUUUUACUCAUUGCUCUUCAUAGCAAGGUUUGUUUUUCUUUCCUUCUUUCUCUUUCUCUCCCCCUACUUUUAUGUAAGGGUCAGUUUGAAGCCUGUUCUUUGAUCCCAUUUUCAGUGUUUUUACCUCAUUGUUAGAAAAUCCACUUUUUUGGCGUUAUUGGUUAGUGAAAAUUUAGCAAAGACAGCAUAGACGAGGGAGAAAUUACGACAAAACAGAUAAACAAAGCCUUGUUCCCUUUUACUGUACCCUUUGGCAUAUAGGUUUGGUACGUAUUGGUAUGAUGCAAUCAACAAGGGAGCUUAAUUUCUUCCUGGCAAAUGUGUUACGGUUUCAAGUAUACUACCUAAUACUCAAAUUAACUUUUAGUGUUAUGCUAGUUCUAUUCUACUAAAGAAAAAUAUAUAGAGAUUAUUCAAGUGACCAUAGAUGAGAGGUACAAAAAUGAAAAGUUGGUAAAAGAAUUUUUUUUAAAGCCUGCUCAAACACUGAGGCUUAUUUAAUGCAGAAGUUGCAGGAAACAUGACCUAUAUACAUUUUGUCUUCAAGUAAAAUAAAUACAUACAAAAUUCUUAUUUAAUCAUAGGAUUUUGACCAGUAUCAAAGUAGCAAUUAAAGCCCAGCCACUUGUAAAGUGUAAUGGACUGACUGCACUAUAAAUGACCGAUGUCAGGUUUAAAAUGUCAUGCAAUAAAUGAUGGUAAAUACAUUUACUGUACAUGUAGACCUCAAGAGCCAGAUCCUUCACUCUACCAACUCUCUGUUUUGAUUUAUUUUAAAGAGAGCAUAGUAGCCUUAUUUAGUAAACACGGAAAAAUGAAAGAUGUUACAUCAUUUUUUGUUGCUUUACAGUAUUCAGUUUUGUGUUGGUUCAGCUAAAUUAUGAAAAAUAAAGAAAAUCCUUUUCUAAGUGAGACUUGUUCCCUGAGCAUGACAUCACCUAAGGAAUUUCACCAGAUGAUAAGUAAGGUGGGAGCACAGAGAGGAAGAUGGAAUUGGAAAUUGAGGACAUGGGCUGUGUUUUGAAGUUUUACCCUUCCAUUUUCAUGUCUUGGGUACCUUCAUUUUGGUAUGCUUAGUUACAGAUCAUAUUAAGGUCAUUUAUUUUCUGGAAAUCAGAUCCUCUAGUAACUCGGGUAUCUAAGAAUGUGCAUCUGAAAUCUUUACAUCUAAAAUCAUACAUUCCAAUCAGUUCUGAAUAUGCAAUCUUAUGUCUUUGUUUUCUAAGUACUUUAAAAGGUCAACAAAAAGUAGAUGUACGUUGUUUAUAAGGUCCACUCUGGAGAAGAAAUAUCAAAGACAAAAGAUUCUGAUUAUUCU